UCAAGGCAGCGUUCCGCGCCAUGGGGCCUUGGCAGCGUUUGCUGCUUUUGGGGGGGCCGUCGCUUUGGGGCUACAGCGGGGCCUGUGUCCCGCUUGGGGGAAGCCGAGUGUUGGUUUGCGGGCGCCAGUUCUCUGGCGCUGAAAGUGAGACCCUAAAACAAAGAAGAACACAAAUCAUGUCUCGAGGACUUCCAAAGCAGAAACCAAUAGAAGGUGUUAAACAAGUUAUAGUUGUGGCUUCUGGAAAGGGUGGAGUUGGAAAGUCUACUACAGCAGUGAACCUUGCACUUGCUUUAUCAGCGAAUGAUUCGUCAAAGGCCAUUGGUUUGUUAGAUGUGGAUGUGUAUGGCCCAUCAAUUCCAAAGAUGAUGAAUCUGAAAGGAAAUCCAGAAUUAUCACAGAGCAACUUAAUGCGGCCUCUUUUGAAUUAUGGUAUUGCUUGUAUGUCCAUGGGCUUCCUGGUUGAAGAGACUGAACCCAUUGUUUGGAGAGGCCUUAUGGUAAUGUCAGCCAUUGAGAAACUGUUGAGGCAGGUAGAUUGGGGUCAACUGGACUAUUUAGUUGUUGACAUGCCACCAGGAACUGGAGAUGUGCAGUUGUCAGUCUCACAGAAUAUUCCCAUUUCAGGUGCUGUGAUUGUCUCCACGCCCCAGGACAUUGCAUUGAUGGAUGCACACAAGGGAGCUGAGAUGUUUCGAAAAGUCCAUGUGCCUGUUCUGGGCCUUGUCCAAAAUAUGAGUGUUUUCCAGUGUCCAAAAUGUAAACACAAAACUCAUAUUUUUGGUGCUGAUGGUGCAAGAAGACUAGCACGGACCCUUAAUCUUGAUAUUCUAGGAGACAUUCCCUUACAUCUUAAUAUAAGGGAAGCUUCAGAUACAGGCCAGCCGAUUGUAUUUUCACAGCCUGAAAGUGAUGAGAAGUUGGUCACAGCCCUCUCAACAGAUCCUGCCGUGUUUAGUGCCCAUUCUACCUGCAUGUCUUCCUUUAAAGAAUGAAGCAAGUGUUUAAUUGCCAACGUGAUAAACUUCUACAAAAGUUAAUGGGAUGAUUGCAGCAUUAUUUACAAUAGCCAGGACAUGGAAGCAACCUAAAUGCCCAUCAACAAAUGAAUGGAUAAAGAAGAUGUGGCAUAUAUAUACAAUGGAAUAUUACUCAGCUAUAAAAAGGAACGAGAUGGAGCUAUAUGUCAUGAGGUGGAUAGACCUAGAGUCUGUCAUACAGAGUGAAGCCAAAGCCUACCUAAGGAUUGCUGCUGAAGUGGUAAGAAGAUUGCCACCACCUCCAGAGUGACUCCCCAGGUGUCUUGGAAAUUUGCCUGACAGUAAGACCUUUGGAAAUCAGCAGUGUGAAACCUACAGAAAUAAUAGCAGUCAUAGUUGUUUUCUUGUAUUUCUAAAGAAAUAAUGUCUUAACUUCAGAUCUGAUUUGUUGAACCAUGACUUACAAAUAAAAUUGUUACAUGCCAAUGCUUACUGCUACAUUUAGGAAUUUUUUUGAAAGCUAUUGUGUACCAAGGUCACAGAACUGCAUUUUAUUUUAUGGAACUACCCUUUAAGGAAUCAUGAGUUUAUAUUACAAGCCCAACCUUCAAUUCAGGAGAGAACUGUGCUCUUUUUGCAGGACUGCAGAGUUAAAGGAUUUACUGAGUGUGAGUAUGGACAUAAGUAUGACACCUCUCCAUUGGGCAGUUUGAUCUGGGUUUGAAUCCUGCUUCUAGUACUAUCUUGGACACAUUAUUAAUAGAGAUGAACCUCUACUUCUUUAUCUGGCCUAGAUUCUCCUCUAGACUUAACGAAUCUGAAUCUGCAGGGGUAGGGUCUGGACGUGCAUAUUUUUAACAAGAUCAUAAUGAUGUUGAUGAUUCUGAUUAUGAUGGCAAUAAUAAUAAUAAUAAUAAUUAACAUUUAUCAAGUGUUUUCUUGUGUCCUUAUAGUUAAUCUUGCAUUCGUAUGAGUGGAGUACUCUUGUUAUCUCUGCUUUACAGAUGCGGAAACUGAGAUAUGGGAAAGUUAAGUGUCUUCCUGAAGGGUUACUGUUCUAGCAAGUGAAGGUUUGAACUUGGGCAUUUGUUUCCUGGAUCCUUCCCUUUGUACACCAAAGGGCAUUUGUUUAUUUCAAAAGAGGAAUAUGAUUAUAGUAUUCAGAACUUAUAGUAUUCCUCAAACUUAUUUGACCAUGAACUCCCCCCAAACUCCCCUUUAGGAGCAUUUCAUGGAGUUCUUAUUUCGAAGAAUACACCUUGAAAAACAUCUUGUCUGGUUGAAGCUCAGAGAGAGUCCAGGGCUUCCCAAGGUUAUAAAGCUGUGAGCGCUGAUGAGUCAUUAGUUAAUCCUCACUUAUAAGAAGGUGGUCUGUGACUUUUGACAAAUGCCUGAGUUCCUUUGCUCUGUAGUUAAGCAGCCAGAAAAUUAGAUAAAGAGUUACACGUCAUUAUAAACAUGUUUUUGCACACUUAUGUUCACCAAAAAAACUGUGCAUGGCUGCUUAUAGCACCUUUAUUUGUAAUAGCCAAAACAACCCAGAGUUUUUCAGUGAGUGAAUGGUUAGAAAAACUGUGGUAUAUCCAUACCAUGGAAUACUACUCAGCAAUAAGAAAAGAACAAACUGUGGAUACAUGCAACAACCUGGAUAUAUUCCGGAGAAUUAUGCUGAAUGAAAAAGCUAAUCCCAAAAGGUUUUGUAUCAUAUAAUUCAACUUAUAAAACAAUCUUGAAAUGACAAAAUUAUAGACAUGGUGAACAGAUUACUGGUUUCCAGGGGUUAAGGGAAGGGAUUUGCGAUGGGGAAGGCAAUUGUAUUUGUGGCUAUACAAGGGCAACAUCAGAGAUCCUUUUGAGGAUGGAAGUGUUCUGUAUCAUGACUAUCGAUGUCGUAACUUGGUUGUGAAAUUGUGCAGUAGCUUUAUAGGAUGUUACCAUUGGAGAAAAUUGGGUAAAGGGUACAAUGGAAUCUCUCUCUAUUAUUUCUUACAGCUGCAUGUGAAUCUGCAAUUAUCUCAAAAUAAAAAUAAAAGUAUAAUUUAAAAAAGCAAACUUGUGCUGCUGUGUCCGAACUGAAAUCUCCUGGACCAAAUUAUCCAUGCUAAUUAAAAUCAUGAAUAAAAGUAUUUAUGGACACCUGGUAAUCGUCAUUCAUCACUCUGAAAUGACUUAAGUUGUAGAUAUGUAUUUGUAUUUUAUUGUCUUUUUGGAAGCAGGCCAAUAUAGAUAAUCAUUGAGUAUUUCUAAAUACCAAAAAGCAAGUAAUUGAACCAAGCUUAACUUUACCUGGAAAAAGAAUAAUUUAAAUAAGCUCCAGAGGUGCUUAAAGUUGUGUACCAUAAUUUAAUACAUCUCAUGGAGAAAUGGGAAAGAUAGACUUCACUCAUAAAUAUAUGACUUAGAGAAGAUUCACAUAUAUAAUCACCUGCUCCAUUCUCCCUCACCUGGUAUUCUCUGCAGAUGCUUCCGGGAAAGCCACUGGGAAAAAAAUUUUGAUUGGAGUUUGUACCCAGGUUCAAAAGUGGAGCGAGGGAAAGUAGCUUUAAAAGCAAGAAUUAAGCUUAUUCUAAAAUUUUGCCCCUGGGUAGCCUUUGCUAUGCUUCAGAGAGCUGACUUCAAAUAGACUGUGAAGCAUGGCUCGUCUGCCUGUUGCUGGCAUAAUGUUUAUUCCUCAUUCUUCACAUUUCCGUAGAGUGUAGAGAAUUUCCAUUCCCCUGUCCAGGAGAGAAAGGCAAGCUCCCCCACUCACUCCAUCCUGGGGAAACAGGAGUGACUGAUGGGCACAUUUCUUUCUACCUGUGCUUCUGUGAUUUCAGCCAAAUGCUGAGCUUUCUGAGGUAGGCUACAGGGAAGCCUGAAGUUGUCCAUCUCUGCCUUGGAGUUGGGUGAGCAUGUCCGUCUAAUUUAGAGGUAGGGUAUUUGGUAACCCAUUGUGGUCACAUGUCCUCUAAUCCAGCUUUUUGUCAGUAAUAAAGCUAAUUUUUUUAAAACCUUUAUCUGAAUUCUAUGUCUCUCAUUUCUAAACAGGGGAAGAAUCCCCCAACCAGAUUCCAAGGAAACACACAAUACCUUUCUAGAAUCCUAUAAAGUUAGAACUGAAGAAUAUAUUUCAGAUAAGUCCACCACUCUAUUUGAAGUAAAAAUUAAGUUCAUUAAUGGCUGGAGAUUUUUUGGGGAGGUGGGGGGGAGUGAAGAGAGGUUUUUGUGGAGUGUACUACAUAUACAGUAAAUCACAGAAGACAUAAAUACACAGAUCAGUUAAUUAUGUACAAAGUGAACACCCAUGUAACUACUAACCAGGUUAGGAAGUAGACCACAGCUAGUAUCCCCAAAGCCCCAGUGUUUUCCUUCACAAUCACUAUCCUCUUCUUCCCUUACAAAGUUAACAACAAACUGAUGUUUUAGCACCUGAGUCUGUGCCCUUAAGCAUUAUAGUUUUGCCUAUGUUUUUGAAAUUUUUAUUAAAUGGAACUGUACAGUAUUUUGCUCUAUACUGACUUGUUCUGUAUUAUAUUUCUGAGAUGCAUGUCUACUGUUGCAUAUAGCUGUAAUUUGUUCAUAUUUGUUGCUGUAGAGAAUCCCACUGUUUGAAUAAACAAC